rnacentral:rRNA from 1 species
GAUGAACGCUAGCGAUAGGCCUAACACAUGCAAGUCGAGGGGCAUCACAUGAGGUAGCAAUACCGAUGGUGGCGACCGGCGCACGGGUGAGUAACACGUAUGCAACCUGCCUUCAACAAGGGCAUAACCCGUUGAAAGACGGACUAAUUCCCUAUGACACAGGGGUCCCGCAUGGGGAUAUUUGUUAAAGAUUAAUCGGUUGGAGAUGGGCAUGCGUUCCAUUAGCUUGUUGGCGGGGUAACGGCCCACCAAGGCAACGAUGGAUAGGGGAACUGAGAGGUUUAUCCCCCACACUGGUACUGAGACACGGACCAGACUCCUACGGGAGGCAGCAGUGAGGAAUAUUGGUCAAUGGGCGCAAGCCUGAACCAGCCACGUCGCGUGAAGGAAGACGGCCCUACGGGUUGUAAACUUCUUUUGCAAGGGAAUAAAGUUGGCCACGCGUGGCCUUUUGCAUGUACCUUGCGAAUAAGGAUCGGCUAACUCCGUGCCAGCAGCCGCGGU